GCCAAAUUAACAAUUAAAUUGAUAAUAAAUUAACAUUUUAAUUAUUUGCUAUUUUUUUGAAAGAUAACUGUUGAAAAAAGCUUAUCCAUUUUCCAAUUUAUCUACAAGCGUGUGAUUAACACUUACCCUCAAAGAAUUAGAAACAGCAGUUGCAAUCAAAUGGACAGUCAGGCGUGCCUCCUCCAUCACCUAUUGAGAAUUAAUCGUCCGGGCUAUUAUGCGGUUUUACUUACCUAGAUUAAUAUCUUCCAAUCUAUAAACUGGUAGCCCAUCAUUAAGAUAUCUUAUAGGUUUAAUAUAGCCAUAAUUAAUAUCCAAGCUCUUAUUUGUAUUAUCUCUA
rnacentral:antisense_RNA from 1 species